rnacentral:tRNA from 1 species
GCCGAAGUGGCGGAACUGGUAGACGCGCUAGGUUCAGGGUCUAGUAUCCGUACGGAUGUGGGAGUUCGAAUCUCCCCUUCGGCACCA